CCUACGGGAGGCAGCAGUGAGGAAUAUUGGUCAAUGGGCGGAAGCCUGAACCAGCCAAGUAGCGUGCGGGAUGAAGGCCCUACGGGUCGUAAACCGCUUUUGCACGGGGAUAACACCCUCCACUUGUGGAGGUCUGCAGGUACCGUGCGAAUAAGGGCCGGCUAAUUCCGUGCCAGCAGCCGCGGUAAUACGGAAGGCCCGAGGGUUAUCGGGAUUCAUUGGGCUUAACGGGAACGUAGGCGGGCUUUCAAGUCAGCUGUAAAAUCGCGCGGCUCAACCGCGCCCCGCAGUUGAAACUGGAAGCCUUGAGUUCACAACAGGCAGGCGGAAUUCGUGGUGUAGCGGUGAAAUGCAUAGAUAUCACGAGGAACCCCGAUGGCGAAGGCAGCCUGCCGGGGUGCGACUGACGCUGAGGUUCGAAGGUGCGGGUAUCAAACAGGAUUAGAUACCCGAGUAGUC
rnacentral:rRNA from 1 species